rnacentral:rRNA from 1 species
GACGAACGCUGGCGGCGUGCCUAAUACAUGCAAGUAGAACGCACAGUUUAUACCGUAGCUUGCUACACCAUAGACUGUGAGUUGCGAACGGGUGAGUAACGCGUAGGUAACCUGCCUGGUAGCGGGGGAUAACUAUUGGAAACGAUAGCUAAUACCGCAUAAUAUUAAUUAUUGCAUGAUAAUUAAUUGAAAGGUGCAAUUGCACCACUACCAGAUGGACCUGCGUUGUAUUAGCUAGUAGGUGAGGUAACGGCUCACCUAGGCGACGAUACAUAGCCGACCUGAGAGGGUGAUCGGCAACACUGGGACUGAGACACGGCCCAGACUCCUACGGGAGGCAGCAGUAGGGAAUCUUCGGCAAUGGACGAAAGUCUGACCGAGCAACGCCGCGUGAGUGAAGAAGGGUUUCGGAUCGUAAAGCUCUGUUGUAAGAGAAGAACGGGUGUGAGAGUGGAAAGUUCACACUGUGACGGUAUCUCACCAGAAAGGGACGGCUAACUACGUG